UACAGAGGAUGCAAGCGUUAUCCGGAAUGAUUGGGCGUAAAGCGUCUGUAGGUGGCUUUUUAAGUCCGCCGUCAAAUCCCAGGGCUCAACUCUGGAAUGGCCUUUGAGACUAGAGGACUUGGGUACGGGAGAGGUGAGUGGAAUUCCGAGUGUAGAGGUGAAAUUCGUAGAUAUUCGGAAGAACACCAGUGGCGAAGGCGGCUCACUGGCCCGUUACCGACGCUCAGGCGCGACAGCGUGGGGAGCAAACAGG
rnacentral:rRNA from 1 species